rnacentral:tRNA from 1 species
GGAGGGGUGGCCGAGUGGUUUAAGGCGGCGGUCUCGAAAACCGCUUCCCGCUCACGCGGGACGUGGGUUCGAAUCCCACCCCCUCCGCCA